rnacentral:rRNA from 1 species
AGGAUCAUUACCGAAUUGUCAACACGAGUUGUUGCUGGUCCUCAAAUGGGGACAUGUGCACGCUCUGUUUACACAUCCACUCACACCUGUGCACCCUCCAUAGUUCUGCAAGCCUGGGGGUUCUGUUCCCCUGCUGUGGUCCUAUGUAUUUACACACACACACUGUAGUAAAGUCUCAUGGAAUGCAUACCGCGUUUAACGCAAUAUAAUACAACUUUCAGCAACGGAUCUCUUGGCUCUCGCAUCGAUGAAGAACGCAGCGAAAUGCGAUAAGUAAUGUGAAUUGCAGAAUUCAGUGAAUCAUCGAAUCUUUGAACGCACCUUGCGCCCUUUGGCUAUUCCGAAGGGCAUGCCUGUUUGAGUAUCAUGAACACCUCAACUCUCGUGGCCUUGCCAUGAUGAGCUUGGACUUUGGGGGGUCUUGCUGGCCUGUGGUCGGCUCCUCUCAAAUGAAUCAGCUUGCCAGUGUUUGGUGGCGUCACAGGUGUGAUAACUAUCUACGCUUGUGGUUGUUCACCAGGUAACCUUCAGUGAUGAAGGUUCACUGGGGCUCAUAAACAGCAUGUCUCUCCUCACCGAGGACAGCUCUUUGAACGUUUGAUCUCAAAUCAGGUAGGACUACCCGCUGAACUUAAGCAUAUCAAUAAGCGGAGGAAAAGAAACUAACAAGGAUUCCCCUAGUAACUGCGAGUGAAGCGGGAAGAGCUCAAAUUUAAAAUCUGGCGUGCCUCUGGUCGUCCGAGUUGUAGUCUGGAGAAGCGUUUUCUGUGUUGGACCGUGUAUAAGUCUCUUGGAACAGG